rnacentral:rRNA from 1 species
AUGGAAAGGUUUCUAAAAAAGAGGAGAACCUCGGUGCAAGAUGAAAAUGUUGGUCCGUCACACGAAAAUAAUCAAAAUGAUGGCUCGGUCCCGACACAAUCGGAUAGACAAAUUGAUGCCUCAACACAUGAACAGAUUGAUGUCCCGACCCCGCCAUCAUCACAUGGACAAAAUGAUGCCUCCACACAUGAACCUAGUUCUGCUAAUACUACAAGAAAUUCCUUUGAAGUUGAAGAGCUCAAUUGGGAAGAAGAAAUUCAAUUUGAUCCAGGUAAAAGGAGAAGCAUAGAUGAGUACCAUCCGAAUCAGAGAGAUAUGGUAAGAAGGAAGUAUUUGGCCAAUGGCCCUUCUCAACCUCGUACUGUAGAUUUUGAAGUGACAGAAAUAUGUGGUAAAGAUAGAAGGUUCGUUCGGGAAUGGUUUGAUGAGUUUGAGAGCUGGACCGCGCAAGAAGAAAGAAGCUGGAUAUGAUGCAUUUGUUGCAAAUGGUUGGUCAAGUUGGAAUAAGAAAUAUAGAUUGAGGGAGCAUGUAGGAGACAUCAAUAGUGCUCACAACCAAGCAAAAAGAGAUUGUGAUGCUUUGCUGAAACAAAAGCAACACAUUUAUGUUGCUCUAAACAACCAAAGUAACGCUGAGAGGAAUGCUUAUUAUACUCGACUAAAUGCCUCAAUUGACGUUACUAGAGUGUUACUGAAGCAAGGGUUGCCUUUCCGUGGCCACGAUGAGUCUGCCGAGUCUUUCAAUAGAGGCAAUUUCAAGGAUUUCAUGCUUAUACAGCAGAGCAGAAUCCAUAGGUAA